CCCAUAUAUUCUCGUUGUCUGGGUUUUUCUUCACUCAAGCUUUCAUAACAGGUGCCUUGCAGAAUUACGCCAGGAAGUACUCCGUUACCAUUGACCUGCUUGGCUUUAUUUAUGAGGUUCUGCCAUUUGACACCUCCGACUUAUCUCCUGAAGAUGGACUCUGCAUUCAUGGCCUUUUCUGGAUGGAGCUCGGUGGGAUAGAACAAUGCAAGAGUACCUUCCACGGCAGGAAGACACUGGAAAUAAUAUAAUAAUUUCUAAGCUAUAAUUUUUUUUCAUUAAAUAUGUUCUUCCUUGCAGUGGAGUGUUGGCUGAACAGUAUCCCAAAGUUUUAUUUGAUGCAGUCCCUAUCAUCAAACCAACGGACAAGAGGAGCAUGGAACAGCCCCACAGCAUCUAUGCGUGUCCCCUCUACAAGACUAGUGAGCGUAAAGGUAGACUGUCCACCACUGGCCAUUCAACCAACUUUGUCAUCAGCAUGAUGCUCCCUACCAGCAAGCGUCCUCAGCACUGGAUCAAGAGAGGUGUGGCUUUACUCUGUCAGCUAGGCACCUAAGCCCUUUGACUUCUGAACCAGCACUUUAUUUACGGAGCUCCAGACAGGUGAAAAAUAUUUUUCA